GCCGGGCGUGGUGGCGGGCGCCUGUAAUCCCAGCUAAUCGGGAGGCUGAGGCAGGAGAAUGGCGUGAACCCAGGAGGCGGAGCUUGCAGUGAGCCGAGAUGGCGCCACUGCACUCCAGCCUGGGCGACAGAGCGAGACUGUGUCUCAAAAAAAAAAAAAAAAAAAAGAACUUUAUUGCAUUUUUUUUUUUUUUGAGGCAGAGUCUCACUCUGUUGCCCAGGCUGGAGUGCAGUUGCGCGAUCUCGGCUCACUGCAACCUCUGCCUCCUGGGUUCAAGUGAUUCUCCUGUCUCA
rnacentral:SRP_RNA from 1 species